AAUUUUUUAAAGCAAAGUAUGUGUUUGAGAGCCAGCUAGGGCCCUGGAAAAUGAAUUUGUUCUGAAUCUAGAUGAAACAUUUUAUCUCUCCAUGUAGCUGUCCGAGUGCUCCAUUUCGGCAAAGGAAACCUACCUUCAACAUGUCUUGGCAGCAAAGAAACUCAACGUCAGAUUAAUUGCUCAAUCACAAACAGGGAGCCACAGCCUCUGAAAGAAGCUCAACAUGAGAUGAUGUUUUCAUGUUCUUGAAAGACCCACUCUACAGCCCCUUUUGGAAGUGGAAUGGCUAAAUAUAUCCUAACAUGAGCAGAGAAGUCCCCCCUUGUCCUUGGACACUGUUGUGGAACUGGAGUCAUCUUGGGUACAGGGAUACUGAAGUCCCUGCAGCCUGUGUUGACCGUGGAGGUUGCCGGGUUGUGGUAUCAGUAGUUCAGAGGCUGUGUUGAACACUGAGAGAGGUCAGAAAUAUGGCCAAUGCCUGACUUCAGUGCUCUCGGAUUGGAAAGACUCAGCCACAUCCAACUAAUCGCCCCUCUGUACCUCCCCAACACAGGCCUUCAUUGUGCGAAGAUUUCAUUUGAGUCUUAAUGGCUGAAAUUGAGAAGUCAUUCAUCAUUCAUUGCAUAUAAGUUCUGAGUGCUGAGGGAGGUGUAAAGAAAGAAGUAAGAUCCAUCUCCACCGGACUGCGAUCUCAUCCAGACUAGCCUGACAUGACCUGCUCUUGGGGAGCUCAUAGGGUCCUAGGGGUUCAUAGCAGUUCUUUCAGAAUCACACUUACAUCAUUUAAAAACAAGUUUUAAAGAAUUUAGGUAAUUCAUGAACAUGGUUUAAAACAUCAAGCAGUGUGGAAGGCUUAUGCUAAAGUGUCAUCACUCUGACCCCUUCUCACUUAUCAGAAGUCCCCAGCCGCAGCCAUUUCUGCUUUUAGUUCUUUUGAAGCAACAUCUUUGUCUCUAAAAAUGUGCUAACUAUGGAGUCUCGAUUCAUAUUGUAGACCCUCUAUAUUGAAGCCUGUCCGUGGUGGAUGAGAAUCAGCUCGUCCACCACUCCACCUCUCUUCUUUUUAAUACAAUUAUAUCACUAUUUUGGUUUUUCUAAUGGUUACUUUUGUAACUCAAAAUAGUGUACUUUCAACUCUCUUUUUCAAUUGGCUAUUGACAUAAUCUCUUGACCAUCUACUUAGAAAGAUAAGGAUAUUGAUAUUCUCAUCUUCCUGCCACUUUUUUUUUAUAUAUAUAACUCCUUUACCUUC
rnacentral:lncRNA from 1 species